rnacentral:rRNA from 1 species
UACGUAGGGGGCAAGCGUUAUCCGGAUUUAUUGGGUUUAAAGGGUGCGUAGGCGGAGUGUCAAGUCAGCGGUGAAAGUCUGUGGCUCAACCAUAGAAUUGCCGUUGAAACUGGGGGGCUUGAGUAUGUUUGAGGCAGGCGGAAUGCGUGGUGUAGCGGUGAAAUGCAUAGAUAUCACGCAGAACCCCGAUUGCGAAGGCAGCCUGCCGCAGCGUUACUGACGCUGAAGCUCGAAAGCGCGGGUAUCGAACAGG